UUUCCGGGAUUGUGCGUUACUUCCAUUUGAAAGACCCCCGAAGGGAGACCCUCACUCAAGCCUCGGGACAGCCGCGGACCCAAGAAGACACUGAGACCA
rnacentral:pre_miRNA from 7 species